rfam:Ancylostoma ceylanicum strain HY135 Acey_s0158_scaf, whole genome shotgun sequence.
CCAACGGCCCUCUUUAGGGCCACAGAUCUCAUCGAAUACUAAUAAU